ACUCUUCGGAGGGAAGUGAAGGGAAUGAGCGGCGGACGGGUGAGUAACACGUAAGGAACCUGCCCCAAGGAUUGGGAUAACUCCGAGAAAUCGGAGCUAAUACCGAAUAGUUCUUCAGACCGCAUGGUCUGAUGAUGAAAGGCGCUCCGGCGUCACCUUGGGAUGGCCUUGCGGUGCAUUAGCUAGUUGGUGGGGUAAUGGCCCACCAAGGCGACGAUGCAUAGCCGACCUGAGAGGGUGAUCGGCCACACUGGGACUGAGACACGGCCCAGACUCCUACGGGAGGCAGCAGUAGGGAAUCUUCCACAAUGGACGAAAGUCUGAUGGAGCAACGCCGCGUGAGUGAUGAAGGUUUUCGGAUCGUAAAACUCUGUUGUAAGGGAAGAACAGGUAUGAGAGGUAAUGCUCAUGCUAUGACGGUACCUUGCGAGAAAGCCACGGCUAACUACGUGCCAGCAGCCGCGGUAAUACGUAGGUGGCAAGCGUUGUCCGGAAUUAUUGGGCGUAAAGCGCGCGCAGGCGGCCUUUUAAGUCUGAUGUGAAAGCCCCCGGCUCAACCGGGGAGGGUCAUUGGAAACUGGAAGGCUUGAGUACAGAAGAGAAGAGUGGAAUUCCAUGUGUAGCGGUGAAAUGCGUAGAGAUGUGGAGGAACACCAGUGGCGAAGGCGACUCUUUGGUCUGUAACUGACGCUGAGGCGCGAAAGCGUGGGGAGCAAACAGGAUUAGAUACCCUGGUAGUCCACGCCGUAA
rnacentral:rRNA from 1 species